UUAGUUUGAUCUUGGCUAUCAUAUUGACUAUAAUAAAAUAUAAUACAUGCAAUCCCCUGACACCCCGUGAGACCAUAUUUAACUCCUAAAAGACCCUAAAAUUAGAUAAGAAUAAUCCUCAAUCUAAGUUCACGCCUGCAGUAAAGUAUUUUGCCCUAAAUAUAACUUAUAUUACAGAUAUUAUAUUAAGUGUUGACAAAAUUCGUGCCAGCCGUCGCGGUUAAACGAUAAACACACGUCAAUAAACUUCGGAAAUGCAAUGAUAGAUAUUAAUAAUUAUAAUAGUACAAUAUACAUGAUAAAAUAAAGCUAAUCACUAUCUUAUAAAACAAAAAAAUGAACAAAAACAAGGAUUAGAUACCCUUCUAUCCCUUUCCUCCAUCCUCCGGGCACUACGAACACACGUUUAAAACCUAAACCACUUGGCGGCACUUUACGCUAUUAGGGGAAUCUGUCCUAUAACUCGUCAACCCACGUUAAACCCCUCUUAUUAUAGAUUUCAGCUUGUAUACCGCCGUCGUAAGCCCGCAUUAUUUUAAAAUCGCUGGCAACACAGGGCACCCCUCUGACGUCAGGUCAAUGUGCAGCCUAUUAAUAAGUUGAGAUGGAUUACAUUAAACAUAAAACAGGCUAACAGGAACUACCUCCUGUUACAAUAUGGACUUAACAGUAAAUUGUUAAUAGUAUGAAUUAUUGAACACGCAAUUUAAAGUGUGCACAAAUCGCCCGUCACUCUCACCGAAAGGGGAGAUAAGUCGUAACAUAGUAGGCGUAACUGAAGUUGUGCCUU
rnacentral:rRNA from 1 species